AGCCAAUAAAUCAAUCGGACAAAUGACUUAAGAAUGCUUUGCUCAGUUUGACCGCGGACACUCAGCCACAGACUGUGACCCACAGAGAGCAAAUACAACGGGGAAGCACAUUUCUGCUGAGUUGCCGUGGUGACACGUGUGUCGGUUUCACUUAAUCCUCCUCGUGUCCUUGAACAACAUCACAACACGUACACACGCACACGCUAUCAGCUGUCAAACAGGAAAACUGGGCUCAGCUUUGAAAAAUCUGUGUGUAUGUGUGUGUGCGUGUGUGUGUGUGCGUGCAUCCUUUGCGUGACACUCUCACGCCCGACUUCCUGCGCGGGGAGGAAACAGGAAACAAUUCGCUUGGACUCGUCUGGCUCUAUCGGUUCCGUAGCGGCGACGCGCCUCUUCUGUCAAGGCUAAAAACUGGACGGGUCGAGUGGAGCGACGUCUGUUUAGCAUCUUUAACGCCAGACAAGUCGGUGGGGAGCUCCUCCUGCUCACUGUACCUCCGGAGUGUUGACUAUUUUCCCCAGCGACCACAUCAGGGCGCCGUACACCCUCAUCAACUGCUGGGUCUCUAUCUGGUCGGCCUUGUUCAGCACCACCCUGCCGAAAGACACGGUGAGGCCGGUGUGGGGGGAGAACCGCUUUUGUGCGGAUGUCACAGCAGAACCUGCACUCGGGUACCUGAUCUUGUCCUCGUGGUUCUUCAGGGCUUUUAUCACCUCCGAGAACUCGUCGGAGAUGUCCAGUUUGUGGGCGUCGAACAGCAGGAUGAUCCUGUCCACCCUCUCGGCAAACCACUCCAGGACGGCGGCGAAGUCGUAGCCUGAGAGGAGGCGAGGAACAGGGAAUGUGUAUACUUUUUAGGGAGGGUGGGGGGGUAAAGGUCACUGAGUUGAGCACAUGAGCGCGAGCAAUGAACAGCAGCUGGGAUGUCGCAAUUUUCCCAAGUAGAAGCGAUUACAAUGGCUUCAGGUCACAGAGGAGGCAACGCGCAGGACGCCCAGAUUGCGACAUGCUGAGAGGAAAGAAUGCGUGUUUACAGACGCCAGGCGGUUCUGCUUCACUAAGAAAAACUGCGUUCCGUCGUCUUACUCGGCGCAGAUUUGAUUUUUUUGUUGUUGUUGUGAAACGAUAUCGCGAUGAAGUCUCCGAAAGCGCGAAUGAGUGAAGCGGUGCCUCCGUCCUGCAGGAACAACUGAAUCAAUCCAUCGUUGCCUCCUCUGACUCUCCAAGGACGAAGCUGAGAAAGUCCAGCGGAUAUGAGAAGAGAACAAAGAACAAGCGGGCGACGUGGAGGAUUAGAGGGAGAAGGUUUCCCAACCGCACUGAAAUACGCAUAAGAGAUGCAGAUUCAAGGCAUCAGGAGCUCGGAGGCGAUAAAAAGUGAACGUUAAUUGGAUUUAAAAACCCUUUUCAACAAGCGCGUUGCUUUGCGUGUAAGUCUGACUCACGCAGACAAAGCUGCUGUUAAUAUUCACGGGAAAGCAUUUCUACGUGUGUUUAUUUAGAUGUAUUUAUUCUUAUUAACGCGAACACAAAGCCUAAAAGGCUCCUUUGCUAGAAACCAUUUCAAACGAUGUAGUUCGAGCGUUGAAUAAUUCCUCACUGGGGUGUGAACAAAAGUUUGGCAGCUUAAGCACAAAGUGGGUAAAUAUAUAUUUUUUUUUUCGUCCCGUCCAGCUGAGAGGAGACGGAGGACACUGUGGGGCGUUAAGAGAGAAAGAUACCUGGAUAUUUUGAAAUUUAGUGGAUGAUUCUUCACAGGAAGCACUUCUCACGUGUUCGAAUGCUGCGAUUCCAAUAAGUUGAUUGUGGGGAAUUUUCUUUUCCAGCGAAAUGGAUUAACAAAGCUGAGGGGAAAAAUACUGAAGAAACCAACAAAAAAUAAUUGUUGAGAAGGAAUGUCAUCGAAUUAUGUUGCCUGUUUUUUAUUCAUUUAUGCAGAUUUUUUGAAUUACAAGUUUUAUGAGUAUGUUAUAAAUGUAUUUUGUUUAUUGGGAUAAAUUAUGAAUGAACAUGGUGACAUGAAUUCUUUUAUUUUUUGGGGGACUGGGGACUUAAAUAGACAAACCACGUGAGAAGAGCCUGGUGAGGAACAUGCAGCGCUCCAUAAAGUCUUCAAAAUAUCACCUGAAUUAGCCUUUUCGUACAGUCGAUGCUCAGGUUCAUUAUACCUCCAUACUGACAUCUACGCAGGCAGCUAUAGCCCGACUCCACAUCUGCACACACACGAAUAACACUAAAUACAGACAAUGGAGACGUUGAUGAAAACGCUGUGGGGGAAAAGUAACGCUAGCACGAUGAAAACAUCACACGCACAAAAACUAAAAGCACGGGAUGAAAAGAAGAAAAGCUUCACCGUACGCGCUCAGACACACUCCUUCGCCACGGAAAACACAGCUGUGCUGACUCAGCAGACGAGAAGUUUGACCCCUGUUCUUUUUUUAUUUUUUUUAUUACCCAACAGGCAUCAGCAGGGUCGCACCUCGCUGUGCGGUUUAUUUGACAGCGCGCUCACGGGACCGAAAUGAGGUUUUCCCGCUUCGGUGAAACUUGUGCUUUUGUUGCGGAUGAAAUGUGAAACUCAACUGGUGCUGACGGAGCGUCGAUUCUCCACAGAGUCUCGUGACAAACGUUAAUCCCGACCCAACCCUGCUAUGAAGUCAUGCGCUGAACUUCACCACCAAAGAAUAAAAAAAUCUUCAUUGCAUAAUAACAAAAUGGUGAAAAAUGCUUUUCAUAGCCUUUAGCUUUCAGACUGCGAGCACAGAGAAGCCGCGGUCGUGGAGGGAGAACUCAGCGGUGAAUGAAAAGUCUUAAAAGUCAUGGCCGUCUUCUUCUUGUUGCAUGUUUAGCGGUUGCCGUGGCGAUAGCAGCAUCGGGCUCUGGGAACGCCGUCCCAUGCGUGUCACACUGAGGGAUUCCUGUAGGCCUUUCACACCUAAACCUCCCUUCACACUGUGGCCUCUUUGCUCGGCUGGGAUCUGUAGACAGUUGGUUUAAUCAAGUUUAAAUAAGCAUCAUAGAGAUGAAUAGAAUCUAAAUCUAUUUAAUUAUUUUGGCUUUCAAUUCUGUUCUCAAAUUAAGUUUUAGAGCUUAUUCCCAUUAGCUUAUCUGCGCAAAAAGACAUAAGCACCAGCGAAUAAUCUAAUUAACCUUUUUAUUUUCCCUACACUUAUUACAGGUCUCCUGUGACCUGUAUUUAGACAUUUUGUGUGUUGUUUUUCUUAUUUUAUAUCCUCAUCACAGUAAAACUUGGGAAUGUGAACCAAGGGAAAUC